rnacentral:rRNA from 1 species
GUGUCAGCAGCCGCGGUAAUACGGAGGGUGCAAGCGUUAUCCGGAUUCACUGGGUUUAAAGGGUGCGUAGGCGGAUCGGUAAGUCAGAGGUGAAAGCCCCGAGCUCAACUCGGGAAUUGCCUUUGAUACUGUCGAUCUUGAGUAUAGUUGAAGUAGGCGGAAUGAGUCGUGUAGCGGUGAAAUGCAUAGAUAUGACUCAGAACACCGAUUGCGAAGGCAGCUUGCUAAACUAUCACUGACGCUGAGGCACGAAAGCGUGGGUAGCAAACAGGAUUAGAUACCCUGGUAGUCCACGCCCUAAACGAUGAUUACUCGACAUAUGCGAUACACUGUAUGUGUCCAAGCGAAAGCGUUAAGUAAUCCACCUGGGGAGUACGUUCGCAAGAAUGAAACUUAAAUGAAUUGACGGGG